rnacentral:rRNA from 1 species
CCUACGGGGAGCAGCAGUGAGGAAUAUUGGUCAAUGGGCGGGAGCCUGAACCAGCCAAGUCGCGUGAGGGAAGACGGUCCUAUGGAUUGUAAACCUCUUUAGGCGGGGAGCAAUGCCGGGCACGCGUGCCCGGAGGGAGAGUACCCGCAGAAUAAGCAUCGGCUAACUCCGUGCCAACAGCCGCGGUAAUACGGAGGAUGCGAGCGUUAUCCGGAUUUAUUGGGUUUAAAGGGUGUGUAGGCGGAUUUUUAAGUCAGCGGUAAAAUGUCCGGGCUCAACCCGGGCCGGCCGUUGAAACUGGGGAGCUUGAGUGGGCGAGAAGUAUGCGGAAUGCGUGGUGUAGCGGUGAAAUGCAUAGAUAUCACGCAGAACUCCGAUUGCGAAGGCAGCAUACCGGCGCCCGACUGACGCUGAGGCACGAAAGCGUGGGGAUCGAACAGGAUUAGAUACCCCAGUAGUC